rnacentral:lncRNA from 1 species
UUAUGACACAGCUUUUAGAGAACAGUGGUAGUGUUUAUUCCCACCUAUCGUAAGAGGAGAAUAUUUGAUUAACAUUAAUCAAAGAGUACUGGUGAUGUGGGGGUGGGUAGGUAGGUCUAGGUAUGUGUGUGGUAAUGACUCUUGAUAAAAGUUUCCUCUAAUGCACACAUCACCUGACUUUUGACUUUAGGCCAUUUAAACAAAUAUAGAACUAUGAUAGUUCUAGUAGUUAUAUUUAGUCUUGAAGAACUUGCUGACCUUUGCUUCCUUUUAUAGUUAGGCCACUAACCAUAGAAGAUAAACAAAUUUUUGCGGCAAUAACACAUACAUUGAGAGAGAUGUUUAUAUGGAAGGAGGAAUUGGUACUCUGGCACUGUCAAAUUUGUAUAUAGAUGUUCCAUACUUGAAAGGAAGAUAGAAUGAUACAUUGCCUCUGUUCUCGUCAGUGGACUAGUAUUUGGGGAACUGAGAUUCCAUGUGACAACACUGUUUUGUAAACGCCCCUUCCUUUUAGGAAGUAUUGGAUUUGCUUUCUCAAUAGCAUUCUGUAUUGUUGGAACAUGUCUAAAGAGCAAAGAGAUGCAUCUGCUGCUUGGGUUCUGCUUGCCAGCUGGUUUGAACAACUAUAAUGUUUGUUUAUUCUUGAUGUGUCAGCAGUCAAAGUUUUCCUUUCUCCAUUGUGGUUAUUCUAUAACUUAAACAUGAUUAGAUCAACAAUGACUAUUUAUUCAGAAUCUGCUAAGUCCCUGGGGGAUACAAAGCCUCUGAAAGGCACUCUACCUCUGAUGGAGUCUUGUUAUCUGGCAACGAUAAAUAUCAGGGAUUUCUUUUUGGUGCUGAGAUUCUAUAUAUUGAUUGUGAAAGGGCGUUAUAAAGAAAAAGGCCUGGUCAAAAUCCAUUCUAUUGGCCUGGGGAUGUGGCUCAAGUGGUAGCGCGCUCACCUGGCAUGUGUGCGGCCCGGGUUCGAUCCUCAGCACCACACACAAGGAUGUUGUGUCUGCCAAAAACUAAAAAAUAAAUAUUAAAAAAUUCUCUCUCUCUCUCUGUCUCUCUCUCUCACACACACACACACACACACACACUAUUUUAAAAAAAUCCAUUCUCUUGUCAUGUAAUGACUAAAAAAAAAAAUAAAAUAAAAUAAAAAACUUAAAAAAAAGAAAAAGAAAAAGAAAAGGUCUGUAGGCACUUGGAGAAGAGGAGAGAUCCCCAGGGAUUGGGCCAGGGAGGGAGUUCCAGGAGAAGGAGUGCUUGAGUGGGUCCAGAAUGGAAUAAGUAGUGGAGAGAGUUGAGGUCACCAGACCAAGGCAUGGUGCCCACCUAGGUAAGUGUGCCACGAAUAGAUCAGUGGGCCAUUUGGUGAAAGUUUUUAAAGACUGGGGGUGGCAGAGAUAGAAGCCUGCUUCUGAAAGACCUGAAUAUAUGGCAUUGGUCCUUUGGGUUAAUCGUCACUCUCCCCCCGCCCCCAUAACUAUAUUGAGAACCCUUGUGCUUUGUGUUUUAAUGUUAGGCACCAAAGGCAUCCUAGAAAUAAUUAUCCCUUUUCUCUUGUGAGAUUGUUUUAACUACAUUGUUAAUGGUCUCCUUGUUUCUAAAGUGUAAGGAGUAUGGAAACAUCUUGUAAGUGUUUUGAGUUUGGGUUGCAGCUGCUGGUAUUGUUUAUUAAGCCUCCUUCUUCCUGGUUGGAGCACCUACUCUGAAUUUCAAGCUUGACUGGAUUCUAAACAACAGAAAUGAACUACAUAGAUCAAUUCUCUUUCCUAUAUGUGCUGCCUUCUCUCCUCCAUCAUGUAUCUAUAAGUAUCUACACUUGUCUACAUAUACAAACAAUGCUUGUAUUUUUCAGACAGUAAUGUUAUUGAAACUUACUGUGUUCAUAAACACAUGGGUUUUAUGUUGUCUUCUUAUAUAAAAGAGCUGCUGUUCAGGCAGUAACACCCAACACACUACAGCUCACCUAGCAUGAUUAAUUACAAUAGUUUUAUAAAUAGGAAAUCAGUGCUUAGAAAUACACACAUUAACUUGUGUGAACAUUUGAGAAAAGUUGCCUAUAAAAUAAAUUUUGAUCUUUACUAUUAAAUUAUAGUUAUUUGAUUGAGAAAGGAAAGGUUUAUGACACUCUGAACUUUAACAUUUAUGGUGUGAUGGUGAUGAAGUGUCAGGAAGCACAGAGGGAGGGGCUUGCCAGCUGGAAGAGCAAUUAGGAGACACUCAACUUCAGUGACCCUGGCAUGAAGGCAGGAAUGGAAAAACUGUG